rnacentral:rRNA from 1 species
GACAGAGGGUGCAAACGUUGUUCGGAAUUACUGGGCGUAAAGCGUGUGUAGGCGGCUAUGUAAGUCGGAUGUGAAAGCCCUGGGCUCAACCCAGGAAGUGCACUCGAUACUGCGUAGCUUGAGUACCGGAGAGGUUGGUGGAAUUCUCGGUGUAGAGGUGAAAUUCGUAGAUAUCGAGAGGAACACCGGUGGCGAAGGCGGCCGACUGGACGAGUACUGACGCUGAGACACGAAAGCGUGGGGAGCAAACAGG